rnacentral:rRNA from 1 species
CCCUACGGGGUGCAGCAGGCGUUGACGGCACGGUCCUCACUGGGGACAGGUUCGGGCCCUCUAUGGCGGAGCGGCAGCCAUCAGUGAUCGAACUCGAUGUUCCCAAAUGAGGAUUGCGUGUCUCAUUACCGCUGGUGGUAGCGGUAAGUGACGUUUUCAGUCUUUCUCAGCAUAUAUGGUGCAAAGAAAGCUCCCAAUGGUUGCGUGUAUUCUAUCGGAUAGUCCUCGGGCUGGGGAACACAUGGUUUGCAUUCCCCUUGAAGGGCCAGUGGAUCUCACGACGGUUCCGGGGAUACGCAAUCGGCUCCGGGGCGGCGCGAAAAAGAGAGACACGAAAGAAAUGUCCGUAGAUAUGGUCAAGGUGACUCAGCUGGAUACGGCGGGAGGGC